rnacentral:rRNA from 1 species
UACAGAGGUCUCAAGCGUUGUUCGGAUUCAUUGGGCGUAAAGGGUGCGUAGGCGGCGCGGUAAGUCGGGUGUGAAAUCUUGGAGCUUAACUCCGAAACUGCAUUCGAUACUGCCGUGCUUGAGGACUGGAGAGGAGACUGGAAUUUACGGUGUAGCGGUGAAAUGCGUAGAUAUCGUAAGGAAGACCGAGUGGCGAAGGCGGGUCUCUGGACAGUUCCUGACGGCUGGAGGCACGAAGGCCAGGGGAGCAAACGGG